UUCCAGGCAAAUCCGGAAAACUAAGGCUGAGGCGUGAUGACGAGGCACUACGGUGCUGAAGCAACAAAUGCCCUGCUUCCAGGAAAAGCCUCUAAGCAUCAGGUAACAUCAAAUCGUACCCCAAACCGACACAGGUGGUCAGGUAGAGAAUACCAAGGCGCUUGAGAGAACUCGGGUGAAGGAACUAGGCAAAAUGGUGCCGUAACUUCGGGAGAAGGCACGCUGAUAUGUAGGUGAAGCGACUUGCUCGUGGAGCUGAAAUCAGUCGAA
rnacentral:rRNA from 1 species